UACAGAGGGUGCAAGCGUUGCUCGGAAUCAUUGGGCGUAAAGGGUAGGUAGGUGGUCUCAUUUGUCUGGGGUGAAAGCCUUGAGCUUAACUCAAGAAGUGCCCCGGAAACGGUGAGACUGGAGUCUUGGAGAGGGUCGUGGAAUUCCCGGUGUAGCGGUGAAAUGCGUAGAGAUCAGGAGGAACACCAGAGGCGAAGGCGGCGACCUGGACAAGUACUGACACUCAACUACGAAAGCGUGGGGAGCAAACAGG
rnacentral:rRNA from 1 species